CAGGCUGUGUGACUGACUGAGCAUCUGGAAUAAACAGGAAGCAUUCACAUUACAGUAGGAGCCGAAAAGUAAACUAGUCUACCCUGAGACGUUAACUCAGUCACGAACCCUCUGGGAGCAUUGAUCCUCACAAAAUGGACUGUGGCCAUAUUACUAUAUCUCAAUGGGUAUGUUUACCAACAGUGGAUGGGCAGAGCAAAGCAGAAGUUUCCAGCAGAUCAUCGUCUCUGAAGAGGAGCUUUCCCCUGAGCUGCAGCAUUGUAAGCAGGAGUGGAGCCCCAGUCUGGCGAGGCAAAUGAGGAUUCACAUGAGAUAAAUCAUAUCAUUGCCACUUUAGUGGCAGGUCUUUUAGCACUGGUGUUAAUCACAUUAGUGAUAAACUAUAUUUCUAUAUAUCUUUCACUCCUUCCAAUCUGACUCGUCUGGGGAGACGGAGGGGAGGAACCACAUUAAUACCAUGACUGGCUAAUCUUUCACAACUGCCUUUCAUUUGACACUGCGUAUGAGACAUUCACACAGGGGAGGAAUCUUCCACGUUUUCUGUCGAAAAUGCUUUAGUGCCGGAAGUGAAUAGUCAUCAGAGAACACACAGAGGAGAAACCAUACAAGUCAAACGAUUGCUUCAAAACAAAGCCAAAAUCCUAAAGCCUACAGGCUGAAGGCUCACCUGAGGACACACUUGAUUGACCUUUACUUUGGUAGCUCUGAGGCCCGCUCUCCAUUAAAGGCUAUAAUCAGGACAUAUUCUACAUAACCUGUCAUUUUCCAUUCUGUGAAACAAUUUUUCCACUGAGAUCAGAACUUGUAUGUUUCAUUGUGUAGCCCACCAGAAACAUGACAGUGCCUUGUGUGGGAGAAGGGCAUCAGACAGAAGGUUGAGAUGCACAUUUUGUAACUCCCACCUGUGAGUGGAGACCCGGUUCUUGGGGGAAUAAUAUACUGUAUGCCUUUGGCUAUUUGUAAUACUUCAAAUACAGUUACUAUUGUUCAUAGUUUUUUAACUUGA